rnacentral:rRNA from 1 species
GCAUAACGCGAAGAACCUUACCUGGGUUUGACAUGUACCUGCACGUCCCGUGAAAACGGGAUUCCUUCGAGGGUGGUACACAGGUGCUGCAUGGCUGUCGUCAGUUCGUGCCGUGAGGUGUUUGGUUAAGUCCAGCAACGAACGCAACCCCUGUGCCCAAUUGCCAGCGCGUAAUGGCGGGAACUAUGGGCAGACUGCCUGUUUACACAGGAGGAAGGUGGGGACGACGUCAAGUCCUCAUCGGCCCUUAUGGGUAGGGCUUCACACGUCAUACAAUGGCGCAUACAGAGGGUUGCCAACCCGCGAGGGGGAGCCAAUCUCAGAAAGUGCGUCGUAGUCCGGAUUGUUCUCUGCAACUCGAGAGCAUGAAGUCGGAAUCGCUAGUAAUCGCGGAUCAGCAUGUCGCGGUGAAUACGUUCCCGGGUCUUGUACACACCG